rnacentral:rRNA from 1 species
CCUACGGGAGGCAGCAGUGAGGAAUAUUGGUCAAUGGACGAGAGUCUGAACCAGCCAAGUAGCGUGAAGGAUGACUGCCCUAUGGGUUGUAAACUUCUUUUAUAUGGGAAUAAAAUGUUCCACGUGUGGGAUUUUGUAUGUACCAUAUGAAUAAGGAUCGGCUAACUCCGUGCCAGCAGCCGCGGUAAUACGGCGGAUCCGAGCGUUAUCCGGAUUUAUUGGGUUUAAAGGGAGCGUAGGUGGAUUGUUAAGUCAGUUGUGAAAGUUUGCGGCUCAACCGUAAAAUUGCAGUUGAAACUGGCAGUCUUGAGUACAGUAGAGGUGGGCGGAAUUCGUGGUGUAGCGGUGAAAUGCUUAGAUAUCACGAAGAACUCCGAUUGCGAAGGCAGUUCACUGGACUGCAACUGACACUGAGGCUCGAAAGUGUGGGUAUCAAACAGGAUUAGAUACCCGAGUAGUC